AAGCCUGAUCAGCCAUGCCGCAUGAGUGAAGAAGGCCUUUGGGUUGUAAAGCUCUUUUUAGUGAGGAAGAUAAUGACGGUACUCACAGAAAAGUCCUGGCUAACUCCGUGCCAGCAGCCGCGGUAAUACGGAGAGGGCUAGCGUUAUUCGGAAUUAUUGGGCGUAAAGGGCGCGUAGGCGGAUUAGUAAGUUAAAAGUGAAAUCCCAAGGCUCAACCUUGGAAUUGCUUUUAAAACUGCUAAUCUAGAGAUUGAAAGAUGAUAGAGGAAUUCCUAGUGUAGUAGGUGAAAUUCGUAAAUAUUAGGAGGAACACCAGUGGCGAAGGCGUCUAUCUGGUUCAAAUCUGACGCUGAGGCGCGAAGGCGUGGGGAGCAAACAGGAUUAGAUACCCUGGUAGUCCACGCUGUAACCGAUGAAUGUUAAAUAUGGGAAGUUUUACUUUCUGUAUUACAGCUAACGCGUUAAACAUUCCGCCUGGGGACUACGGUCGCAAGAUUAAAACUCAAAGGAAUUGACGG
rnacentral:rRNA from 1 species